CCGCACGGAUGUUAGCCUGGCUGAUUUUGUUGGCCGUAGUACAGCCCAUGUUCUGGAGAAGCUGUAAAAUGGGGUUUCGCCGCCGCCACGGCGGCCGGAAAUCGCCCAUGAGUAAAUCGCCAUGAGCUCUCCAGACCGGCGCCGGCGAGCGCCAUCCUCUCCUCCGUCUGAUUCGUCCCGACUCGAUGGCACCGCUCCAAUUUCCUCACCGCCGACGAGGUCAGUGCACCGAGUCUCCUCCCUUGCUCAUGACCUCACACGGAAAUAACGAAGCAGAUGUUCAUUCAUUCAUCUGUCGAUUCCUUGCAAAUCUGAGCGAUUUGUAGUUGUGAUUUGUGAAUCAGAGUGAUUACCUAGCUAAUAGCUAUUAAAGAGUUAUAAACAGUAUUUUUAAGAGUAAAAUGCAGUACUAUAUAUUGCAGGCACUUUUGAUUCAAGAAAGCAGUUAGCUUUAUUUACUGCAACCUGUCUGUCACUAAAUUCAGCUGUUUGUUCCACAAGCUAUCAGAUAUACACUUCUUUGCAAAGCACAGAUCUGGCUUUUCCAGUCGUAAAACAUAUAUAUAAUUUUCUGCAGCUCAAUUACAGUGGUUACUUUGACUUCGGUGUGCCGCACUUUGGUGUGCUGGGAUAGAAGACAGGAUAGUAGGUGUUCAGCUCAAGCUGGUCCAGGAUUUGAUUGACAAGUGUCAAGUAGGAAGAAUGUCCAACGAUGAGCUCACUGGCAUCAACCUGUGAGUUCAGAAAUAUUAUCGAGUUUUUAGCUGUAUAGAGGAAAUUUUUUGGCCCAGUUGAAUGCCGCAACACACUUACAUUUUCAACUCCAGGUACAUUAACUGCUUGGAUGCCGGCCAAGCCUUGUGAAAGCAGGCUACAUGAGAGAUCAUUUUCAUGGAAAAAAUGAUGACUCCACAUCCACAAUCUG
rnacentral:lncRNA from 1 species